rnacentral:rRNA from 1 species
GAUAUAUGGUCAAGUGAAUAAGGGCAUACGGUGGAUGCCUUGGCAGAGACAGGCGAUGAAGGACGUGGAUACCUGCGAAAAGCCUCGGGGAGCUGGUAAACAAGCUUUGAUCCGGGGAUAUCCGAAUGGGGCAACCCAGCCAGAGUGAUCUGGCUAUUGCACACUGAAUACAUAGGUGUGUAAAGCGAACGCGGUGAACUGAAACAUCUCAGUAGCUGCAGGAAAAGAAAUCAACCGAGAUUCCCGUAGUAGCGGCGAGCGAACCGGGAACAGCCUUCAUGAUAUAGCCUUAGACUUAGGAGAACGACUUGGGAAGGUCGGCCGUAGUGGGUGAUAGCCCCGUAUCCGAAAAGACUUUGGUGGAACUAGGCAUGAGCAAAGUAGGGCGGGACACGUGGAAUCCUGUCUGAAGAUGGGGGGACCAUCCUCCAAGGCUAAAUACUCGUCUCUGACCGAUAGUGAACCAGUACCGUGAGGGAAAGGCGAAAAGAACCGCGGAGAGCGGAGUGAAAUAGAUCCUGAAACCGUAUGCCUACAAGCAGUGGGAGCCCGUAUUACGGGUGACUGCGUACCUUUUGUAUCAUGGGUCAGCGACUUACUUUCUGUGGCGAGCUUAACCGAAGAGGGGAGGCGUAGGGAAACCGAGUCUGAAUAGGGCGACAGUCGCAGGGAGUAGACCCGAAACCGGACGAUCUAUCCAUGGUCAGGAUGAAGGUGGGGUAAAACCUACUGGAGGUCCGAACCCACGCCCGUUGAAAAGGUCGGGGAUGAACUGUGGAUAGGAGUGAAAGGCUAAACAAGUCCGGAGAUAGCUGGUUCUCCCCGAAAGCUAUUGAGGUAGCGCGUCUGGUAUGACUGCCGGGGGUAGAGCACUGUUACGGCUAGGGGGCUGUCACGGCUUACCAACCCGUUGCAAACUCCGAAUACCGGCAAGUAAGAGCCAGGCAGACAGACGGCGGGUGCUAACGUCCGUCGUCAAGAGGGAUGAAAACCCAGACCGCCAGCUAAGGUCCCCAAAUAUGGCUCAGUGGGAAACGAUGUGGGAAGGCAAAGACAGCUAGGAGGUUGGCUUAGAAGCAGCCAUCCUUUAAAGAAAGCGUAAUAGCUCACUAGUCGAGUCGGCCUGCGCGGAAGAUUUAACGGGGCUCAAGCCAUAUACCGAAGCUGCGGGUGUGUCCUUAGGGACACGCGGUAGGGGAGCGUUCGGUAAGCCGAUGAAGGUGUGUUGGAAAGCAUGCUGGAGGUAUCCGAAGUGCGAAUGCUGACAUGAGUAGCGAUAAAGGGUGUGAAAACCACCCUCGCCGUAAGCCCAAGGGUUCCUGCGUCAAGUCAAUCUGCGCAGGGUGAGUCGGCCCCUAAGGCGAGGCCGAGAGGCGUAGCUGAUGGGAAAUCGGUUAAUAUUCCGAUACUGUUGUAAGAUGCGAUGGAGUGACGGAGAAAGGUAGCUCAGCCGGGUGUUGGACGUCCUGGUUUAAGCGUGUAGGGAGUCUUCUUUGGCAAAUCCGGGAAGGCAAUUCCAAGGCGUGAUGACGAUCCUCUACGGAGGAGAAGUGAGUGAACCUACGCUUCCAGGAAAAGCUUCUAAGCUCUAAUCUUACGAUGACCGUACCCCAAACCGACACAGGUGGGCAGGAAGAAUAUUCCAAGGCGCUUGAGAGACCUCGGGUGAAGGAACUCGGCAAAUUGACACCGUAACUUCGGAAGAAGGUGUGCCCUUUUAGGUUGUACUCCCUUGCGGAGGAAGGCCGAAGGGGUCGCAGAGAAUCGGUGGCUGCAACUGUUUAACAAAAACACAGGGCUCUGCAAAGACGAAAGUCGACGUAUAGGGUCUGACGCCUGCCCGGUGCCGGAAGGUUAAGUGAGGGGGUGCAAGCUCUUGAUCGAAGCCCCGGUAAACGGCGGCCGUAACUAUAACGGUCCUAAGGUAGCGAAAUUCCUUGUCGGGUAAGUUCCGACCUGCACGAAUGGCGUAAUGAUGGCCACACUGUCUCCACCCGAGACUCAGCGAAGUUGAAGUCGCUGUGAAGAUACAGCGUUCCCGUGGCAAGACGGAAAGACCCCGUGCACCUUUACUACAACUUAGCAUGGGACCUUGAGAUGAUUUGUGUAGGAUAGGUGGGAGGCUGUGAAACCGGGACGCUAGUUCUGGUGGAGCCGUCCUUGAAAUACCACCCUGGUGAUCUUGGGGUUCUAACCUCGAUCCGUGAUCCGGAUCAGGGACAGUGUUUGGUGGGUAGUUUGACUGGGGCGGUCUCCUCCCAAAGAGUAACGGAGGAGCACGAAGGUACCCUCAGCGCGGUCGGAAAUCGCGCAGUGAGUGCAAAGGCACAAGGGUGCUUGACUGCGAGACAGACAAGUCGAGCAGGUGCGAAAGCAGGUCUUAGUGAUCCGGUGGUUCUGUAUGGAAGGGCCAUCGCUCAACGGAUAAAAGGUACGCCGGGGAUAACAGGCUGAUUCCCCCCAAGAGUUCACAUCGACGGGGGAGUUUGGCACCUCGAUGUCGGCUCAUCGCAUCCUGGGGCUGUAGCCGGUCCCAAGGGUAUGGCUGUUCGCCAUUUAAAGCGGUACGCGAGCUGGGUUCAGAACGUCGUGAGACAGUUCGGUCCCUAUCUGCCAUGGGCGUUGGAGAUUUGAAGGAAGCUGCUCCUAGUACGAGAGGACCGGAGUGGACGUACCUCUGGUGUUCCGGUUGUUCUGCCAAGGGCAUUGCCGGGUAGCUAUGUACGGUCGGGAUAACCGCUGAAAGCAUCUAAGCGGGAAGCCCAUCCUAAGAUGAGAUCUCCCGGGGCUUAAAGCCCCCUGAAGGGCCGUGGAAGACCACCACGUUGAUAGGCUCCAUGUGGAAGCGCAGCAAUGCGUGCAGCUAAGGAGUACUAAUCGCCCGUGCGGCUUGACCAUAUAUCACCCAAGCA